rnacentral:Y_RNA from 1 species
GAAGUGUCCAAGUGCAGUGGUGUUUACAGUAUCUCAACCAGUUAUAGAUUGCUUUGUUCCUGCUCCACUCCCGCUAGUUCACUUGACUAGCCUUAA